rnacentral:rRNA from 1 species
AUGGCAGCAGUCUUGCAGUUGUGUGUCAAGGAACUCUGCUUGGUGUACCACAUCACAACGGCCACAACAUGGCCCAAGCGCCUCAAACAGUUCCUGCGGGAGGAGAAUUUUUACACAUUUGCCAGUUUCAGCAUUGAAGGUGACAAGAAGAUGCUGAACAAGUUUGGUUUAGAGAUCAACCCCAACAACUUCAUCGACAUGCAGUGCAAGUGGAAAGUUCCAACCACAAACAAACACUACGAUUCCUUGGUCGAUGUUGCAACCAGCGUCAUCCACCCGUUCUACAAAGGCAUGAAGCAGAACUUCAACAAGGAGGAAGACCACAAACUGUGGGGGACCAGCCCGCUGCCAGACAACCUCAUCGAGUCUGCAGCAAAAGAUGCAUAUGCCACGUACAAGUCAUGGAAGAUAAUCGACAACAUCGUGACAGGUUGGGAUAUUGCACAAGAGCAGGAGGCUGCCCCUACCACCACUGCAAGUUUGCAGGAUGAAGAGGCAUGA